rnacentral:lncRNA from 1 species
GUACAUCAUGCAGAUAGCUCAGAAGAAGAAGCAGGAAUGUUUGACUGGAAAUAUAAACAAUGUUGUACAUAAUGCAGAUAGCUUAGGCGAAAAAGAGAUUGGUGAAAUGGAGAAUGAGACUAAUUACGGUGAAAAGAAUAAUAAAUAUCAAAAUAGAAUAGCACUUUGUUUAACAUCUACCUGUUUCUACAGAUACAGUACAGACGCAUUUAUA